rnacentral:rRNA from 2 species
UACAGAGGUGGCAAGCGUUGUUCGGAAUUACUGGGCGUAAAGGGCGCGUAGGCGGCCUUGUAAGUCUCGUGUGAAAGCCCUCGGCUUAACUGAGGAUCUGCACGGGAUACUGCGAGGCUUGAGUUCGGGAGAGGAAAGCGGAAUUCCGGGUGUAGCGGUGAAAUGCGUAGAUAUCCGGAGGAACACCAGUGGCGAAGGCGGCUUUCUGGACCGACACUGACGCUGAUGCGCGAAAGCUAGGGGAGCAAACGGG